AUUGAACGCUGGCGGCAGGCCUAACACAUGCAAGUCGAGCGGAGCGGCGGACGGGGGAUUAAUGCCUAGGAAUCUGCCUGGUAGUGGGGGCUAACUUCCGGAAACGGGCGCUAAUACCGCAUACUAUAAGAUGAGCUUAGGUUGGAUUAGCUAGUUGGUGGGGUAAAGGCCUACCAAGGCGACGAUCAGUCGCCGGGCUGAGAGGACGAUCCGCAACACUGGGACUGAGACACGGCCCAGACUCCUACGGGAGGCAGCAGUGGGGAAUUUUGGACAAUGGGGGCAACCCUGAUCCAGCCAUGCCGCGUGUAUGAAGAAGGCCUUCGGGUUGUAAAGUACUUUUGUUAGGGAAGCGGUAUCUAAAGAAUAAGCACCGGCUAACUACGUGCCAGCAGCCGCGGUAAUUC
rnacentral:rRNA from 1 species